rnacentral:rRNA from 1 species
GAUGAACGCUAGCUACAGGCUUAACACAUGCAAGUCGAGGGGAAACGACAUCGAAAGCUUGCUUUUGAUGGGCGUCGACCGGCGCACGGGUGAGUAACGCGUAUCCAACCUGCCCACCACUUGGGGAUAACCUUGCGAAAGUAAGACUAAUACCCAAUGACGUCUCUAGAAGACAUCUGAAAGAGAUUAAAGAUUUAUCGGUGAUGGAUGGGGAUGCGUCUGAUUAGCUUGUUGGCGGGGUAACGGCCCACCAAGGCGACGAUCAGUAGGGGUUCUGAGAGGAAGGUCCCCCACAUUGGAACUGAGACACGGUCCAAACUCCUACGGGAGGCAGCAGUGAGGAAUAUUGGUCAAUGGACGAGAGUCUGAACCAGCCAAGUAGCGUGCAGGAUGACGGCCCUAUGGGUUGUAAACUGCUUUUAUAAGGGAAUAAAGUGAGAGUCGUGACUCUUUUUGCAUGUACCUUAUGAAUAAGGACCGGCUAAUUCCGUGCCAGCAGCC